rnacentral:rRNA from 1 species
GAUGAACGCUGGCGGCGUGCUUAACACAUGCAAGUCGAACGGAAAGGCCACAGCUUGCUGUCGUACUCGAGUGGCGAACGGGUGAGUCACACGUGCGUGAUCUGCCCUGUACUUCCGGAUAAGCUUGGGUAACUGCGUCUAAUACCGGAUAGGCAUCACAUGUGGGUGAUUGGUUGGAAGGCUUUUGAGGUAUGGGAUGAGCUCGUGGCCGAUCAGAUUGUUGGAGGGGCACUGGCCUGCCAAGGCGUCGACGGGUAGCCGGCCUGAGAGGGUGAACGAGAAAAGUAGGAGACAGAUACGGGCGGGAGUACUGCGGGAGACAGGAGUGUGGUAUAUAGCAUGAUGCAGGCAAGCCGGAUGCAGCAAGGCCGCGUUGUGGAUGAUAGCCUUCUGUUGUAAGGCACCUUUCGUCAGGGAGUAUACUAAGGUGACGGUACCUUAAUAAGAAGCACCGGCUAACUACGUG